rnacentral:rRNA from 1 species
CGGAGGGUGCGAGCGUUGUCCGGAAUCACUGGGCGUAAAGGGCGCGUAGGCGGCCGUGUAAGUCACUUGUGAAAUCCCGGGGCUCAACUCCGGGGCUGCAGGUGAGACUGCGUGGCUAGAGCUCGGUAGAGGCAAGUGGAAUUCCCGGUGUAGCGGUGGAAUGCGUAGAUAUCGGGAAGAACACCGGUGGCGAAGGCGGCUUGCUGGGCCGAUGCUGACGCUGAUGCGCGAAAGCGUGGGGAGCAAACAGGAUUAGAUACCCUGGUAGUCCACGCCGUAAACGAUGGGUACUAGGCGUCGGGGGGAGCGACCCCCUCGGUGCCGUCGCUAACGCAGUAAGUACCCCGCCUGGGGAGUACGGUCGCAAGACUG